UACGUAGGGGGCGAGCGUUGUCCGAAGUUACUGGGCGUAAAGGGCGCGCAGGCGGCUGCUCAAGUCAGGCGUGAAAGGCCUGGGCUCAACCCGGGAAUUGCGCUUGAGACUGGGCUGGCUUGAGUGCGGGAGAGGAUGGUGGAAUUCCCAGUGUAGAGGUGAAAUUCGUAGAUAUUGGGAAGAACACCGGUGGCGAAGGCGGCCAUCUGGACCGCAACUGACGCUGAGGCGCGAAAGCGUGGGGAGCAAACAGG
rnacentral:rRNA from 1 species